GAGAAAUGCACUCGAAAGUGAU
rnacentral:miRNA from 1 species